AAGACAUCAGUGUCCUGUCGAGCCUCUGAGCUGCAAAAGCCUGAGUCAGGACCCGGAUCACCUCAAGUCAAAGAAUAAAGAUCCAACCAGUCAGCCGCUCUGUCUUCACGACAUGCCAACAUUGUGCAUCAGUGACUGGCGGCGACCUACUGCGGAACUCUGUUAUCGGGAAUCUGGGCAAUUUGGUGUCAUGUCUCCGUCCAACAGGAGUCAUGACAACGGGCCGUGGACCUUGAGGACGCUCCGCUGCUGCCAAUUACGCACCUGGCUCCAGUUCCCGAUCAGGGGGGUAUUUAAGAGCCGUCCGGAGAGCCAGUCCCUACCGGAUCGUUACGUGCCAGGACUUCGCCUGAGACUACCGUCGUCCACCCUGCUGGGCUCUUCCCCACCGAGCCCCAGAAACCAGAACGUCUCGGACUACUGGUGUUUUUUGUUAUUUUUGGAUCUUUUGUGAAUAAACUAUUCUUUAUUCUCCCCACCAA